UUGUUAAAAUGUGUUAUACAAAUAAACUUGCCUUGCCUUGCCUUGCCUUACACUCCAGCAUCCAUAGCAAUCAUUAUCUGCACAAACAGUGAAACACGUCAGUUACCUCUAAAAGCCUUUUCUCUUUGUCUCUUUGGCGAUCAGUAGAAUCCCUUCCGUGCUGCUGUUAGAACUCAACUGAUGAUGUGAAUCAGCCUUCAGGCUCCGUUGUUGGGACUUCAGUCUGCAGCUGCAGAAACAACUUCCAACUGCCUGAAAUGUACUGAAACCAAACAGACUGAGCGAUGGACUCUGAAGCCAGCGGGACGAUGGAGGUGGCGGCGCUCGGCCGGCCUUUCAGCCUCGGGAUGUUGUACGACUGCCGCAAAGACUCACUCGUCCCUGGCAAGGAUUCACAUGCAUUACGCUGUGGGACCGCAAUGACCUGGAAAAAGAUAAAGGAGAAAGACCAAAACCGAACACUGACUUUGAGAUUGUUGCAUCUGAAUCAAUUGAGGACAAAUCUUCAGCUCUAAAUGUUGAAGCUUCCCUGAA